AUUGAACGCUGGCGGCAGGCCUAACACAUGCAAGUCGAGCGGAGCGGCGGACGGGUGAGUAAUGCCUAGGAAUCUGCCUGGUAGUGGGGGAUAACGUCCGGAAACGGGCGCUAAUACCGCAUACUAUCAGAUGAGCCUAGGUCGGUUUAGCUAGUUGGUGGGGUAAAGGCCGACCAAGGCGACGAGCCGUAACCGGUCUGAGAGGGUGAUCAGUCACAGUGGAACUGAGACACGGUCCAGACUCCUACGGGAGGCAGCAGUGGGGAAUAUUGGACAAUGGGCGAAAGCCUGAGCCAGCCAUGCCGCGUGUGUGAAGAAGGUCUUCGGGUUGUAAAGCACUUUAAGUUGGGAGGCGUUACCAGCAGAAUAAGCGCCGGCUAACUUCGUGCCAGCAGCCGCGGUAAUUC
rnacentral:rRNA from 1 species